GUCUACGGCCAUGCCACCCUGAACACUCCCAGUCUCAUCUGAUCUCGAAAGUUAAGCAGGGCCGGGCCUAGUUAGUACUUGGAUGGGAGACCACUUAGGAAGACCAGGUGCUGUAGGCG
rnacentral:rRNA from 1 species